AUUGAACGCUGGCGGCAGGCCUAACACAUGCAAGUCGAGCGAGCGGCGGACGGGUGAGUAAUGUAUGGGGACUGCCCGAUAGAGGGGGAUAACUACUGGAACCGGUAGCUAAUAACGCAUACUAUCGGAUAACCCAUAUGGGAUUAGCUAUUAGGUGAGGUAAUGGCUCACCUAGGGGACGAUCCCUAGCUUGUCUGAGAUGAUGAUCAGCCAAAGUGGGACGGAGACACGGCCCAGACUCCUACGGAGGCAGCAGUGGGUAAUAUUGCACAAUGGGUGCAAGCCUUAUGCAGCCAUGCCGCGUGUAUGAAGAAGGCCCUAGGGUUGUAAAGUACUUGCAGUCGGGAGGCGUUACCGACAGAAGAAGCACCGGCUAACUCCGUGCCAGCAGCCGCGGUAAUAC
rnacentral:rRNA from 1 species